AGUGAACGCUGGCGGUAUGCCUAACACAUGCAAGUCGAACGGCAGCACAGUAAGAGCUUGCUCUUACGGGUGGCGAGUGGCGUACGGGUGAGGAAUACAUCGGAAUCUACUUUUUCGUGGGGGAUAACGUAGGGAAACUUACGCUAAUACCGCAUACGACCUACGGGUGAAAGCAGGGGAUCUUCUGACCUUGCGCGAUUGAAUGAGCCGAUGUCGGAUUAGCUAGUUGGCGGGGUAAAGGCCCACCAAGGCGACGAUCCGUAGCUGGUCUGAGAGGAUGAUCAGCCACACUGGAACUGAGACACGGUCCAGACUCCUACGGGAGGCAGCAGUGGGGAAUAUUGGACAAUGGGCGCAAGCCUGAUCCAGCCAUACCGCGUGGGUGAAGAAGGCCUUCGGGUUGUAAAGCCCUUUUGUUGGGAAAGAAAAGCAGCAGGUUAAUACCCCGCUGUUCUGACGGUACCCAAAGAAUAAGCACCGGCUAACUUCGUG
rnacentral:rRNA from 1 species